rnacentral:rRNA from 1 species
UACGUAGGGAGCAAGCGUUGUUCGGAUUUACUGGGCGUAAAGGGCGCGUAGGCGGCAUGACAAGUCACUUGUGAAAUCUCUGGGCUUAACCCAGAACGGCCAAGUGAUACUGUCGCGCUAGAGUGCGGAAGGGGCAAUCGGAAUUCUCGGUGUAGCGGUGAAAUGCGUAGAUAUCGAGAGGAACACCUGAGGUGAAGACGGGUUGCUGGGCUGACACUGACGCUGAAGCGCGAAAGCUAGGGGAGCGAACGGG